GAUGAACGCUGGCGGCGUGCCUAAUACAUGCAAGUCGAGCGAACAGACGAGGAGCUUGCUCCUCUGACGUUAGCGGCGGACGGGUGAGUAACACGUGGAUAACCUACCUAUAAGACUGGGAUAACUUCGGGAAACCGGAGCUAAUACCGGAUAAUAUAUUGAACUGCAUGGUUCAAUAGUGAAAGACGGUUUUGCUGUCACUUAUAGAUGGAUCCGCGCCGCAUUAGCUAGUUGGUAAGGUAACGGCUUACCAAGGCAACGAUGCGUAGCCGACCUGAGAGGGUGAUCGGCCACACUGGAACUGAGACGCGGCCCAGACUCCUACGAGAGGCAGCAGGAGGAAAUCUGCCGCAAGGGGCGAGAGCCUGACGGAGCAACGGCGCGUGAGUGAUGAAGGUCUUCGUAUUAUAAAACUCUUUUAUUAGGGAAGAACAAAUGUGUAAGUAACUAUGCACGUCUGGACGGUACCUAAUCAGAAAGCCACGGCUAACUACGG
rnacentral:rRNA from 1 species